rnacentral:lncRNA from 1 species
CAACAUUCUCCAGGUCUGGUCUGAAUUUGGGAGGGCUAACUUGCCUAAUUUUAGAGGUGUUGUGCCCAAGAGGAAUGGAGGCCGGGUUUCCUUGCUUCUUUACCAAUCUACUUAUUGGUUUCCUGUUCAACUCCCUUCCUUUGCUUAGAGAUUGAGUGCUUUGUGGGAGUGAGCCCUGCAUUUCCCUUUGGUUUCUGAACUGCAUCUCCUUGCAGAUUAAAGCAAUGAAAGGGAUCAGAAUCUAUUGGUGUUAAGAAGUCAGCCUCAGUACUAAGAGAAAGAAGGAAAGAAUGAAGGAAAGAAAGAAAGAACAAUGAAAGCAUUGUUAGGAUUCUUACGUCACACUGACUUGCCAGUCUACAUUCCUGGUCCAGUAAAUGCUCCAGUGAUGUAGAAGAGGAUACGUGGAAGGGAAAGUUCAAGCAAGAAUGGCAUGGACCAUUUAUGCUGACCAGAAAGAUAUGGCAGCAAGAGUGUAUCUGAUAGGCAGCAAACUGUGCCAGUAGCCUGAAACAGAAUUAUUUGGAUUAAGG